AAGUAACAGUCAGCAUAGAUGUAAAAGUCAUCACAAUCGUAACAACCAACAAGAGCGGAGAAAACAAAAAAACAUAUACUUACUAAUCGAACUUAAUAAUGCUUUAUCUAUGCAAUAUUUAAACAAUGACAUUUAUAUAAAUGUUGAUAUCAGUAAAGACAAAUAUAAAAAAUAUAUUAACAAAAAAAAUAAAAAUUUAUCUUUUUUAGAAAAUUAUAAAAAACAAAUACAAUUUUUUAAAUAUGGAAAUUUAUUAAAAGAAAAUAUAUAUAAAAAAAUUGAACAUAUUUUUAUCUACAACUAUUAUUAUUAUUUAUAUUUUUUACAAUUUGCAUCUGCUAAUAUAUUCACUCAUAAUCUUCUUUAUCAUUUUGUUGCUUAUACACUACCAGCAAAAAAUAACUCUUUAAACAUUUCUAUUAUUGAAGCUUUUAUAAAUGGCACAUAUGCUGAUGUUAAACAAAAAUUAAAAACAGAUUUAUCUUUAAAAAAAAUACAUCCGAAGUAUCACACCAUGAAUUUUUUGGUCCUUUUCCAGGAUUUUCUAAGUAAGGGCGCAAUAAUAAUUGGAAUUUAUAGACACUGCAAAGAAAAUAACAUGAAUAUAGUAAUACCCUGUCCGCAAAGAAGUUUUAUUAUGCACAAAUGGGAUAAGGUUUAUGUGCUGCAAAGCGUAUAUAUAGCUUCAUAAAAACGAAGGCAUUUUUCAAAAAUCCCUGUAUAUACAAAUAUUUUGCAUUUUAUGAGCAUAAUUAGUACUUAACAUUUUGUUACAAGUAUGAAUUGGACUUAUAUAAAAACUUUGUAUAUUUUCAUUUUUUAAAUGAUUCUUUCUAAAAUUAGGAGGAAUAGAACAACAGUUGCUGUAACAUAUUUUUUCGUCACCAUUAAUAUUAUUUGACACAUUUUGAACAUAUGUGUUAUGAUUGAUGUUUGAAAAGUUUAUAUAUUCUAACUGUUUAUUACAAUCAUUAUUUUUUUUUUUUAUUUUUAUCAUUACAAGGUAAUAUUUUUAAUCUUACAUAAUAUUUAUUUAUAUUUAUUUUGUCCUGUUUGUUUGUAUUUGUGUUAUUAAUGUUAUUAUAUGCAUAAGUGUGUCUAUUGUUAUGGGCAUAAGUGUGUCUAUUGUUAUAUGUAUUAGUCUGGUUAUUAUAUGCAAUGUUAGUAUAUGCAUUAUUCACAUUUUUUAAUAUUUGGUAAUUUUUACAAUGGCACAUAUGUUUAUUCAAAUUUUUUAUUAAUUGUGUUUGUGUUUGUUUUUUUGUGCUUAUGUUAUUACUACCACUAUUACAACUGUUAUUUAGGAUAUUAUUGUUAUGUGAUAUCCUUUUUAUAUGAUGAUUAUUCAAUAAAUUAUAAAAACUUCUUUUUUUUGUAUUGUUU
rnacentral:lncRNA from 1 species